rnacentral:lncRNA from 1 species
UUUUAAUGAAGAAAUAAUGGCUCAAAUAAGACCUUAUAUUUUAUAAAAUAUAUUUUCGUCUCAUGUGAAUGUGAAUUUCAUUUUCCCAAUUUCAAUUUUAUUAUACAUUGUGUAAAAUAUUCUUUAGCCUUCUUAACGUGUAUGGGUGAGGUUUCUCCACUAUCACAUGUACGUGGUGCGAUGAAAAACACAUUUAAAAAUAUUUUUCGUCUUGUACGAAUUAUAUUUUUCCUAACUAUAAUGUUUGAUCCCGUCUCAAAUUGUAUGGGUACGAAGAUUGCUUUCACUUGUAUGAAAAUAAAAUAGAUUAUUCGUCCAAAACAAAUAUAUUAUUGCUACGAAAAAGAAUUAUAAAUUGUGCAAUUUGUACUCAAAUUCGAAUUACAUAGAUUUAAAUUUUUAAGAUUCCGAAAUGUAUAAAAGCAAUAUGCUUGCAUUCCAUUCUGCAUACACCGAGCACACCGUAUGACUUCGCUCCCAGUUUUGUCCACAGUUCGUCUUCUUUCUCGGCUCCCUUCGUUCACACAUUUUCACAUCUAUUUUGGGUUGUCGGGUUUAACCAUGGAAUGGCAUAAAUAUAUUUCUAAUUUGGUAACCAAAUCUCGCCUAGGCCUAGCACCAAAUCGGAAAAGUACGUAAUAUGAUGGACAAGGGGAAAGGAAAAGUUGCUGAUGAACCAUCUAACUAGUGCGUUUGCAUUGAUGACAGUGUGUGAUUCAUCAUCUCCACAAUAUAGAGCGCAAGAAUCAGUGCAACACCACCGUCGCCAAGUUUCUAAAUCCCUCUUUUAUGUUCUUCAGUCUAUUUUGAUCUUUAUAUGCAUAUAUUGAAGGCAAUAUAUGAUUAGGUUUAGGGUAAAAAUAUCGAGAUGUUCUCCUAUUUGUUUCUUAGUAUAAUUUAACAUGUUUGUGUGAUUUGAAAUUGUUUUAUGUUAACAAUUUUAUAGCUUUCAGAUAUAUUUACAAAGAAAAAAAAAAAAAAGGAAAUU